rnacentral:rRNA from 1 species
GUUGUUAGCGGACCAGCAAGUAGCUUGCUACUUUGGUGGGGAGCGGCGGACGGGUUUUUUUUGCCUGGGAAUUUGCCCAUUCGAGGGGGAUAACAGUUGGAAACGACUGCUAAUACCGCAUACGCCCUACGGGGGAAAGGAGGGGACCUUCGGGCCUUCCGCGAAUGGAUAAGCCCAGGUGGGAUUAGCUAGUACGUGAGGAAUGGCUCACCUAGGCGACGAUCCCUAGCUGUUCUGAGAGGAUGAUCAACCACACUGGGACUGAGACACGGCCCAGACUCCUACGGGAGGCAGCAGUGGGGAAUAUUGCACAAUGGGCGAAAGCCUGAUGCAGCCAUGCCGCCGUGUGUGAAGAAGGCCUUCGGGUUGUAAAGCACUUUCAGCGAGGAGGAAAGGUUACUGGGCUAAUAUCCAAGUAGCUGUGACGUUACUCGCAGAAGAAGCACCCGGCUAACUCCGUGCCAGCAACCCGCGGGAAUACCGGAGGGGCGCGGAGCGUUAAUCGGGAAUUACUUGGGCGGUAAAAGCGGUGCCCAGGCCGGUUGUUAAGCGAAUGUGAAAGCCCCCGGGCUCAACCUGGGGAAACUGGCAUUUUGAACUGGCAAACUAGAGUUCUUGGUAAAGGGGGGUAGAAUUCCAGGUGUAAGCCGGUUGAAAUGCGUAAGAGAUUCUGGAAGGAAAAACCGGGGCGGAAAGACGGCCCCCUUGGAACAAAGACUGACGCUCAUGCACGAAAGCGUGGGGAGCCAAACCAGGAUUAGAUACCCUGGUAGUCCACGCCGUAAACGAUGUCUACUCGGAGUUUGGUGUCUUGAACACUGGGCUCUCAAGCUAACGCAUUAAGUAGACCGCCUGGGGAGUACGGCCGCAAGGUUAAAACUCAAAUGAAUUGACGGGGGCCCGCACAAGCGGUGGAGCAUGUGGUUUAAUUCAGAUGCAACGCGAAGAACCUUACCUACUCUUGACAUCCACAGAAUUUGGUAGAGAUUCCUUAGUGCCUUCGGGAACCGUGAGACAGGUGCUGCAUGGCUGUCGUCAGCUCGUGUUGUUAAAUGUUGGGUUAAGUCCCGCAACGAGCGCAACCCUUAUCCUUACUUGCCAGCGGGUCAUGCCGGGAACUUUAGGGAGACUGCCGGUGAUAACCCGGAGGAAGGUGGGGACGACGCCAAGUCAUCAUGGCCCUUACGAGUAGGGCUACACACGUGCUACAAUGGCGUAUACAGAGGGUUGCGAAUCCGCGAGGUGGAGCUAAUCUCACAAAGUACGUCGUAGUCCGGAUCGGAGUCUGCAACUCGACUCCGUGAAGUCGGAAUCGCUAGUAAUCUGGUAUCGGAAUGUCC